rnacentral:tRNA from 1 species
GGACGAUUAGCUCAGUGGUAGAGCGCUUCGUUGACAUCGAAGAGGUCGCAGGUUCAAGUCCUGCAUCGUCCACCA